rnacentral:tRNA from 3 species
GGAAAGGUGGCAGAGCGGUUGAAUGCUCCAGUCUUGAAAACUGGCGAUGAGCGAUCCUCAUCCGUGGGUUCGAAUCCCACCCUUUCCGCCA